AACGGGGAGAAGUAGCUUCAUUGCUGGUAAAAGUGUUCACAAUCAGAGAAUUGAGCGAUUGUGGCGGGAUGUGUUCACUGCGGUUACCUCCCACUUCUACCAUGUUCUGCACCAGCUGGAAGAGGAUGGGCAUCUUGAUCUGUCCAGCAGUCUUCACAUCUUCUGCUGUCACUAUGCCUUUAUCCCACGGCUCCAAGUCCAUCUCAAUAUAUUUAGAGAUGGAUGGGACAACCAUCCCCUUUCAUCAGAGGGCAACCUCUCUCCAAAUCAGCUGUGGCAACUGGGGCAGCAGUACCAUUCAGAAGAGUGUGAUGAGAAUCUACAGAUUCCACAAAUUGACUGGGAAAGCAGCGGCCUUAUCCCCAGUGACACAAAUUCUGGCAU